GACAGUGUGUGCUUUUCCUUACAUUUCAUAUUGGACUCCAGUGGCUUGAUCGGUGACAAAGGAUUUCAAGAACGCGCCUGCAGUCAUGAAAGUUGUUUUUCCCCCAGGUUCUGCGGCUCCUGCUCCUCGGCGCUCCGACGAUCUCCUCUCCAGCAACUCCUUGUGCGUUGGCAAGUUAUUCUUGACAGUGUGUGCUUUUCCUUACAUUUCAUUUUUUACACCAGUGGCUUGAUCUGUAAUGUACCGACUCUCUUAACCUGAAUGUUUCCUGCUGACUGCUGCUACUGUUUGUGCUUUGUAUUCUGCAAUAAAAACUGUUUGCAUUUUC